rnacentral:rRNA from 1 species
AUUGAACGCUGGCGGCAGGCCUAACACAUGCAAGUCGAGCGGAGCGGCGGACGGGUGAGUAAUGCCUAGGAAUCUGCCUGGUAGUGGGGGAUAACGUCCGGAAACGGGCGCUAAUACCGCACACUAUCAGAUGAGCCUAGGUCGGAUUAGCUAGUUGGUGGGGUAAAGGCCUACCAAGGCGACGAUCCGUAACUGGUCUGAUAGGAUGAUCAGGCACACUGGAACUGGGCCACGGUCCAGACGCCGACGGGAGGCAGCAGGUGGUAAUAUGGGACAAGGGGCGAAAGCCUUAUCCAUCCAUGCCGCGUGUGUGAAGAAGGUCUUCGGAUUGUAAAGCACUUUAAGUUGGGAGGCGUUACCAACAGAAUAAGCACCGGCUAACUUCGUGCCAGCAGCCGCGGUAAUAC